GCCGAAGUGGCGGAAUUGGCAGACGCGCUACGUUCAGGGCGUAGUGUCCUUAUGGACGUGGGAGUUCGAGUCUCCCCUUCGGCA
rnacentral:tRNA from 1 species